rnacentral:rRNA from 1 species
UACGUAGGUGGCAAGCGUUGUCCGGAAUUAUUGGGCGUAAAGCGUGCGCAGGCGGUUAUGCAAGACAGAUGUGAAAUCCCCGGGCUUUAACCUGGGAACCGCAUUUGUGACUGCAUAGCUGGAGUACGGCAGAGGGGGAUGGAAUUCCGCGUGUAGCAGUGAAAUGCGUAGAUAUGCGGAGGAACACCGAUGGCGAAGGCAGUCCCCUGGGCCUGUACUGACGCUCAUGCACGAAAAGCGUGGGGAGCAAACAGG